rnacentral:rRNA from 1 species
ACUCAAAGGAAUAGACGGGGGCCCGCACAAGCAGUGGAGUAUGUGGUUUAAUUCGAAGCAACGCGAAGAACCUUACCGGGGCUUGACAUGGCAGCGACAGGCGUAGAGAUACGCUCUUCUUCGGACGCUGCACACAGGUGGUGCAUGGUUGUCGUCAGCUCGUGUCGUGAGAUGUUGGGUUAAGUCCCGCAACGAGCGCAACCCUUAUCAUUAGUUGCUACAUUUGGUUGAGCACUCUAAUGAGACUGCCGUUGGCAAAACGGAGGAAGGUGGGGAUGACGUCAAAUCAUCAUGCCCUUUAUGUCCCGGGCUACACACGUACUACAAUGGCAUUUAACAAUGGGUCGCGAAGCCGCGAGGCGGAGCCAAUCCCCAAAAAGUGCCUCAGUUCAGAUUGCAGGCUGCAACUCGCCUGCAUGAAGUCGGAAUUGCUAGUAAUCGUGAAUCAGCAUGUCACGGUGAAUACGUUCCCGGGCCUUGUACACACCGCCCGU